rnacentral:misc_RNA from 1 species
UCCGAUUUGUCACCGGCAGUCCCCUAUGAGUCCCCGUCUUUCACGCUGGCAACUAAGGGCAGGGGUUGCGCUCGUUGCGGCACUUAAGCCAACACCUCACGGCACGAGCUGACGACAGCCAUGCAGCACCUGUGCUGGCCCCUUACGGACACGGGCUUUCACCCGCUUUAACCAGCAUGUCAAACCCAGGUAAGGUUCUUCGCGUUGCAUCGAAUUAAGCCACAUGCUCCGCCGCUUGUGCGAGUCCCCGUCAAUUCCUUUGAGUUUUAGCCUUGCGGCCGUACUCCCCAGGCGGGGCACUCAAUGCGUUAGCUGCGGCACGGGGGGAGUCGACACCCCCCACACCUAGUGCCCAUCGUUUACGGCGUGGACUAC